rnacentral:rRNA from 1 species
CGCGUAGGUGGUUUGUUAUGUCAGAUGUGAAAGUCCACGGCUCAACCGUGGAAGUGCAUUUGAAACUGGCAGACUUGAGUACUGGAGGGGGUAGUGGAAUUCCCGGUGUAGAGGUGAAAUUCGUAGAUAUCGGGAGGAAUACCGGUGGCGAAGGCGACUACCUGGCCAGAUACUGACACUGAGGUGCGAAAGCGUGGGGAGCGAACAGGAUUAGAUACCCUGGUAGUCC